ensembl:lncRNA
AGAUGAUGCAGGAGGGACCCCGGGACAGCAGUCCCAGGAUGACGGCAGUCCAUCGCUGGAGCACAGGUGAGGAGGUUCAGGAGGGACCCCGGGACAGCAGUCCCAGGGUGACGGCAGUCCAUCGCUGGAGCACAGGUGAGGAGAUGAUGCAGGAGGGACCCCGGGACAGCAGUCCCAGGAUGACGGCAGUCCAUCGCUGGAGCACAGGUGAGGAGAUGCAGGAGGGACCCCGGGACAGCAGUCCCAGGGUGACGGCAGUCCAUCGCUGGAGCACAGGUGAGGAGAUGAUGCAGGAGGGACCCCGGGACAGCAGUCCCAGGAUGACGGCAGUCCAUCGCUGGAGCACAGGUGAGGAGAUGCAGGAGGGACCCCGGGACAGCAGUCCCAGGGUGACGGCAGUCCAUCGCUGGAGCACAGGUGAGGAGGUCGGGAGUGGGGAAGUCUCUCUCAUAAGGCCAGAAGAGUGAGCCUGCAGCACAUACCCUAACCAUAUCCCCCUUCCUCAUCCCCCCUAACACCUGGUUGUAGAUACCCUGAUAGGCACAGCCCUGGGUACCACUCCCACCCCAGAAUGAAGCAGGCUCUCACUUGCCAGAAACCCACAGCUCGGAAAUUUCUAACUGAUAACCAGAUGCAUGAAACCCCUGCUGACACUGAACUGACAGGGCUAGCAGUGGAGGCAGGCAUUAUUCUUAUACAGGAGGAGAUGGAUGCUCCCAGAAGCAAGAACAAGCCCCGGUGGUGACACCAAGUGACGAUACUCGCACCGUGCUGCUGCUGGCAGGACCUGGCUACGAAGCAACUUCUGGUUGCACUCUAGCAUCUCCUUCCUCCACGGGAGCAGGUCCCAGCUUCACUGCAGCCACAGUGAGCCCUACUAGGAGAGACGUACCCUUGCCUAACUAAUGCCCAUCCUUGUUUCACAAGCCCCUGCACAUGGCCUCCAUACCUGCCCAGGGUCUGAGCUCAGUGGUUAAGAGCGCACACUGCUCUUGCAGAGGACCACGUCCAGUUCCUAGCACCCACACCAGUUGGCUCACAAUCACCUGUAACUCCAGCACUGAGAGAUCCAACACUAGACACCAUCUACUGGCUUCAGGCACUGGACAUACCGACACACAGACACAAGAGUAUACAUUAUUAACAAUAAUAAAUAAAUAAAUAUUUUAAAACAUUGGAAGCAAAACUGAUUAUAGACAGUUUAAAACCCUC